GACGCACGCUGGCGGCGUGCCUAAUACAUGCAAGUCGAACGCAGUGGUGACGGGUGAGUAACACGUGGGUAACCUCCCAUCAGAGGGGAUAACACUUGGAAACAGGUGCUAAACCGAUCCUGAUGGAUGGACCCGCGGUGCCUUAGCUAGUUGGUGAGGUAACGGCUCACCAAGGCCACGAUGCAUAGCCGACCUGAGAGGGGGAUCGGCCGCACGGGGAGUGAUGUACAGCCCAGACUGCGACGGUAGGCGGCAGUGGGGGAUCUUCGGCAAUGGGCGGAAGGCGAACCGAGCAACGCCGCGUGAGUGAAGAAGGUUUUCGGAUCGUAAAACUCUGUUGUUAGAGAGGCGGUAUCUAACCAGAAAGACACGGCUAACUGCGUGCCAGCCGCCGCGGUAAUAC
rnacentral:rRNA from 1 species